GAUGAACGCUGACAGAAUGCUUAACACAUGCAAGUCAACUUGGACUUCGGUUUGGGUGGCGGACGGGUGAGUAACGCGUAAAGAACUUGCCUCACAGAUAGGGACAACAUUUGGAAACGAAUGCUAAUACCUGAUAUUAUGAUUUUAGGGCAUCCUAGAAUUAUGAAAGCUAUAUGCGCUGUGAGAGAGCUUUGCGUCCCAUUAGCUAGUUGGAGAGGUAACGGCUCACCAAGGCGAUGAUGGGUAGCCGGCCUGAGAGGGUGAUCGGCCACAAGGGGACUGAGACACGGCCCUUACUCCUACGGGAGGCAGCAGUGGGGAAUAUUGGACAAUGGACCAAGAGUCUGAUCCAGCAAUUCUGUGUGCACGAUGAAGUUUUUCGGAAUGUAAAGUGCUUUCAGUUGGGAAGAAAAAAAUGACGGUACCAACAGAAGAAGUGACGGCUAAAUACGUGCCAGCAGCCGCGGUAAUACGUAUGUCACAAGCGUUAUCCGGAUUUAUUGGGCGUAAAGCGCGUCUAGGUGGUUAUAUAAGUCUGAUGUGAAAAUGCAGGGCUCAACUCUGUAUUGCGUUGGAAACUGUGUAACUAGAGUACUGGAGAGGUAAGCGGAACUACAAGUGUAGAGGUGAAAUUCGUAGAUAUUUGUAGGAAUGCCGAUGGGGGAAGCCAGCUUACUGGACAGAUACUGACGCUGAAGCGCGAAAGCGUGGGUAGCAAACAGA
rnacentral:rRNA from 1 species